rnacentral:rRNA from 2 species
UGCAAGUCGAACGCGUUGGCCCAAUUGAUUGAUGGUGCUUGCACCUGAUUGAUUUUGGUCGCCAACGAGUGGCGGACGGGUGAGUAACACGUAGGUAACCUGCCCAGAAUCGGGGGACAACAUUUGGAAACAGAUGCUAAUACCGCAUAACAGCGUUGUUCGCAUGAACAACGCUUAAAAGAUGGCUUCUCGCUAUCACUUCUGGAUGGACCUGCGGUGCAUUAACUUGUUGGUGGGGUAACGGCCUACCAAGGCGAUGAUGCAUAGCCGAGUUGAGAGACUGAUCGGCCACAAUGGGACUGAGACACGGCCCAUACUCCUACGGGAGGCAGCAGUAGGGAAUCUUCCACAAUGGACA